rnacentral:rRNA from 1 species
AUUGAACGCUGGCGGCAGGCUUAACACAUGCAAGUCGAACGAGUGGCGGACGGGUGAGUAAUGCUUGGUAAUCUAGCUUAUGGAGGGGGAUAACUACGGGAAACUGUAGCUAAUACCGCGUACCAUAGGAUGAGCCCAAGUGGGAUUAGGUAGUUGGUGAGGUAAAGGCUCACCAAGCCGACGAUCUCUAGCUGGUCUGAGAGGAUGACAGGCCACACGGGGACUGAGACACGGCCCAGACUCCUACGGGAGGAAGCAGUGGGGAAUAUUGCACAAUGGGGGCAAGCCUGAUGCAGCAAUGCCGCGUGUAUGAAGAAGGCCUUGGGGUUGUAAAGUACGUUCAGUCGGGAGGCGUUACCGACAGAAGAAGCACCGGCUAACUCCGUGCCAGCAGCCGCGGUAAUAC